AGAGUUUGAUCCUGGCUCAGGACGAACGCUGGCGGCGUGCUUAAUACAUGCAAGUCAACUGAACUUUAGGUAGCAAUAUUUAAAGGGAGGUGGCGCACGGGUGAGUAACACGUAGGUAAUCUGCCUUCAGGACUGACAUAAUUCCGCGAAAGCGGGACUAAAAUCAGAUGAUGCAGCGGCUCGACAUCGAGACAGUUGUUAAACCUUCGGGGCCUGAAGAUGAGCCUGCGUCUGAUUAGGUAGUUGGCGGGGUAAUGGCCCACCAAGCCUGCGAUCAGUAGCUGGUCUGAGAGGAUGAUCAGCCACACUGGAACUGAGACACGGUCCAGACUCCUACGGGAGGCAGCAGUAAGGAAUAUUGCUCAAUGGGAGAAAUCCUGAAGCAGCAACGCCGCGUGGAGGAUGAAAUACUUUAGUAUGUAAACUCCUGUAAGAGGGGAAAA
rnacentral:rRNA from 1 species